UACGUAGGGAGCAAGCGUUGUCCGGAAUCAUUGGGCGUAAAGCGCGCGUAGGCGGCCCCGUAAGUCCGCUGUGAAAGUCAAAGGCUCAACCUUUGAAAGCCGGUGGAUACUGUGGGGCUAGAGUCCGGAAGAGGCGAGUGGAAUUCCUGGUGUAGCGGUGGAAUGCGCAGAUAUCAGGAAGAACACCGGUGGCGAAGGCGGGUCUCUGGGCCGUAACUGACGCUGAGGAGCGAAAGCGUGGGGAGCGAACAGG
rnacentral:rRNA from 1 species